ACGCACGCUGGCGGCGUGCUUAACACAUGCAAGUCGAACGCUGAAGACCUGGCUUUUGUUGGGUUGGAUGAGUGGCGAACGGGUGAGUAACACGUGAGUAACCUGCCCUCUUCUUUGGGAUAACGCCCGGAAACGGGUGCUAAUACUGGAUAUUCACUGAUCUUCGCAUGGGGGUUGGUGGAAAGGUUUGUUCUGGUGGGGGAUGGGCUCGCGGCCUAUCAGCUUGUUGGUGGGGUGAUGGCCUACCAAGGCUUUGACGGGUAGCCGGCCUGAGAGGGUGACCGGUCACAUUGGGACUGAGAUACGGCCCAGACUCUUACGGGAGGCAGCAGUGGGGAAUAUUGCACAAUGGGCGAAAGCCUGAUGCAGCGACGCCGCGUGAGGGAUGGAGGCCUUCGGGUUGUAAACCUCUUUCGCUCAUGGUCAAGCCGCAACUGUGGGUUGUGGUGAGGGUAGUGGGUAAAGAAGCGCCGGCUAACUACGUG
rnacentral:rRNA from 1 species